GAUGAACGCUGGCGGCGUGCCUAAUACAUGCAAGUCGAGCGAACGGACGAGAAGCUUGCUUCUCUGAUGUUAGCGGCGGACGGGUGAGUAACACGUGGAUAACCUACCUAUAAGACUGGGAUAACUUCGGGAAACCGGAGCUAAUACCGGAUAAUAUUUUGAACCGCAUGGUUCAAAAGUGAAAGACGGUCUUGCUGUCACUUAUAGAUGGAUCCGCGCUGCAUUAGCUAGUUGGUAAGGUAACGGCUUACCAAGGCAACGAUGCAUAGCCGACCUGAGAGGGUGAUCGGCCACACUGGAACUGAGACACGGUCCAGACGCCUACGGGAGGCAGCAGUAGGGAAUCUUCCGCAAUGGGCGAAAGCCUGACGGAGCAACGCCGCGUGAGUGAUGAAGGUCUUCGGAUCGUAGAACUCUGUUAUUAGGGAAGAACAUAUGUGUAAGUAACUGUGCACAUCUUGACGGUACCUAAUCAGAAAGCCACGGCUAACUACGUG
rnacentral:rRNA from 1 species